CCGCGUUUCGACUUCAGCUAACAGUUAAUCAGUCUGGGAGAAUGCAAACAACGUGAUUCCAACAUCCAGCCAUGCAAGAAAACGUGCAUUUUACCUGAGGGAAGACAGAAUCAAUAAAGAAAGUCGUCUUUCUUUAAUCAGAGUUGGAGUGGACCUCUUGUUGAAGAACUUCUCCAGGCACUAUGAACCAUCUGACUAAUGCUGUCAUGAAACGCCAUGAAAAGGCAACUGCUGGAAACCUGGAACAGGCCAUCAAUUCCAAGUUGGUGGAACUGAGGUUUCAACUGAAGAAAAAGGAGACCUGUUAGAGUUUAGAGUUGUCUAAUAGAGAGGGUGAAGGAAGAACAUCCAAACCCUGCCCCUGCUUCCUUCAAGAUUUUUAUGGAUUUAUA